UACGUAGGGUGCAAGCGUUACUCGGAAUUACUGGGCGUAAAGCGUGCGCAGGCUGUUAAGUAAGACCGGUGUGAAAUCCCCGGGCUCAACCUGGGAACUGCAUCUGUGACUGCAUAGCUAGAGUACGGUAGAGGGGGAUGGAAUUCCGCGUGUAGCAGUGAAAUGCGUAGAUAUGCGGAGGAACACCGAUGGCGAAGGCAAUCCCCUGGACCUGUACUGACGCUCAUGCACGAAAGCGUGGGGAGCAAACAGG
rnacentral:rRNA from 1 species